GACGAACGCUGGCGGCGUACUUAACACAUGCAAGUCGAGCGGAAAGGCCCUUCGGGGUACUCGAGCGGCGAACGGGUGAGUAACACGUGAGUAACCUGCCCCAGACUUUGGGAUAACCCUCGGAAACGGGGGCUAAUACCGGAUACGACACAGCUUCGCAUGGGGUCUGUGUGGAAAGUUUUUCGGUUUGGGAUGGGCUCGCGGCCUAUCAGCUUGUUGGUGGGGUGAUGGCCUACCAAGGCGACGACGGGUAGCCGGCCUGAGAGGGCGACCGGCCACACUGGGACUGAGACACGGCCCAGACUCCUACGGGAGGCAGCAGUGGGGAAUAUUGCACAAUGGGCGGAAGCCUGAUGCAGCGACGCCGCGUGAGGGAUGACGGCCUUCGGGUUGUAAACCUCUUUCAGCAGGGACGAAGCGUAAGUGACGGUACCUGCAGAAGAAGCGCCGGCCAACUACGUG
rnacentral:rRNA from 1 species